GACGAACGCUGGCGGCGUGCCUAACACAUGCAAGUCGAACGGAGAUACGAUUUCGGUUGUAUCUUAGUGGCGAACGGGUGAGUAACGCGUGAGCAACCUGACUCUUAGAGGGGGAUAACAUUCGGAAACGGGUGCUAAUACCGCAUAAGACCACGACAUGGCAUCAUGACGAGGUCAAAGGAGCAAUCCGCUGAGAGAGGGGCUCGCGUCCCAUUAGAUAGAUGGCGGGGUAAUGGCCCACCAUGUCAGCGAUGGGUAGCCGAGCUGAGAGGCUGAUCGGCCACACUGGAACUGAGACACGGUCCAGACUCCUACGGGAGGCAGCAGUGGGGAAUAUUGGGCAAUGGGCGCAAGCCUGACCCAGCAACGCCGCGUGAGGGAAGAAGGCUUUCGGGUUGUAAACCUCUGUCCUUGGUGACGAAAAAAAUGACGGUAGCCAAGGAGGAAGCCCCGGCUAACUACGUAGCCAAGCAGCCGCGGUAAACUAGUCUACG
rnacentral:rRNA from 1 species